CCCUUAGAUGUUCUGGGCCGCACGCGCGCUACACUGAUGCAUUCAACGAGUUUCUUCCUGGUCCGAGAGGAAUGGGUAACCUUUUGAAAGUGCAUCGUGAUAGGGAUAGACUAUUGCAAUUAUUGGUCUUCAACGAGGAAUUCCUAGUAGACGUAGUUCAUCAGACUGCAUCGAUUACGUCCCUGCCCUUUGUACACACCGCCCGUCGCUCCUACCGAUUGGAUGCUCAGGUGAGCCAUUCGGACUUUCAUCAUGCUGGUUUCCAGUUUUGAUGAAGGAAAGUCUUGCGAACCUUAUCAUUUAGAGGAAGGAGAAGUCGUAACA
rnacentral:rRNA from 1 species